ACUUGCUGGAGGUGAAGGGUUGGAUCAAAAAAUUAAAAAGAAGAGAUCUAUUGGAGCUGUAAGAAACACAGUCAUGACUGGUGAAAGAGAUGUGAAACAAUCUGCUCUUCCAAAGGCAAAUACUGAUUCGAAGAUGCGUUUUUAUGAUACACAAGAUUUCAAGUAGUUUGUCUUGUUAUAGAUUUCAGGACUUAGGUUUUAGUUGUCAUGCUAAUACUGACCAAAUAGUUUUUUCGAGGAUUUAUUAGAUUUUCCAUCAAUGAUGAUAUAUAUAUAUGGAGUAAUUUCACACACUAGUUUUCAUCCAACAGAAUUUGUUAAUGGUAGAAAAUAUCAUAUGAAUGGUUCUAUGAUUUUUUGUGUAUGUUAAAACUGAAUGGAUCAUGGUCAUGGUAUUGAAUCAACAUUACUAUUAUAGGUUGAUUUCAAGACCGAGUUGGUGGGAAAGUCCGGUGUUACCCCCAAUCUUGCAACCUCUUUCAUUGAGACACUUGAAGCCAAUGAGCUUUUCAAGGUCUUGGUAGGUCAGAUGUAUUAUAGUGGUUAUGGUGUUCCCAAAGAUGACGAGAAGAGCAGAGAAUAGGCCACUGAACGUGCCCUUGAUUGCACCUUUUACCAUUGCAUCAACAAGGUUGGAGAUGGUAGAGAACGUGGUCAUUAGAAUUGAACUCAGCAAUGGCUCUGUGGGUUGGGGUGAGGCACCAAUUCUGCCUUUUGUUAUUGCUGAGGACCAGAAAACUGCCAUGGCUAAGGCUUCUGAGGCAUGUGCCUUUCUCAGGAGAUGUCCUUCACUAACACUGGGUUCCAUGUUGGAGGAAAUUGCUGCUAUUCUUCCUGGCCAUGAAUUUGCUUCUGUGAGUGACAUUCAGUUAAACUCUUCAUCUUCAUGAUCAUAUUAAUUUUUUCUACUCAUUCUAAUGUUUUCCUUUUGUACUUUUGAAAGGGACGUUUUGCAUGCCCCUUUGCUACAUGAAUUCAUAUGGCUUUGAAUUAACUACGAUCCUUCUUAUUAUUGGUAAUUAAGGAAAUGAAACGAGACUUGUAAAAUUUGAGAAAGUUCUAGUCUUCAAUUAGUCAUUGUAUUUUGUUGUAUUUAUUUGGUUGACUUUUGCCAUUAUGCCCUGCUUUUUGCACCUAAAAUUUUUGCUUUGAUUCUUGUCUUUGGUUGCUUUUGAGAAAAUGUGUUGUUUCAAGGUAGCUUAGAUUAUUUGAAAGUUGCUAGCUUUUCCUGCACAGGAAUCAAUAUCAAAAUGUACAAAGGAAAAUGAAUCUUGUCCUAGUGUUUUCUAAAGGAUAAUUCAACCUUUUUCCUUCAUAGUACAUAAUUUCCUUUUAAUACUACUAUAGCAAUAAAGCUAUUUUUAUUCAGUUGGGAUUUAUGUAAUGUUAAAGAAACUGGGUUAAUAAUAAUAAUAAUAAUAAUAAUAAUGGAAUGGUAGAAGUUGCAAAGAAUAAUAAGAGAGGACACAAUAAUAGUAGUAAGCAAACUGUUCAUAGAAAAUCCAUUGAGACAUUUGGUCAAAGAACUUCACAGUACAGAGGUGUCACAAGGUUAGUCAAAUUUUUCACUUUCAUUUUUAUUUCAUUAUUAAUUUUAUCAACUAUUUAAAACAUACUUUUAUUUUGCUUUUUUGGUUUUUAUUUUAUUUUUUGCCUUUUUAUUUAAAUAUAUAUUUUUUAGCAUUUUUUUCUUUUGAUUUUCUUCUAUUAGGCAUAGAUGAACCGGCAGAUAUGAAGCACAUUUGUGGGAUAAUAGUUGCAAAAAAGAAGGGCAAACUAGGAAAGGAAGACAAGGUGGCUAUGAUAUGGAAGAAAAAGCUGCAAGUGCUUAUGAUCUUGCAACCCUUAAGUAUUGGGGGCCUUCAACACACAUAAACUUUCCGAACUUGUUGUGUUGGUUGUGCAAUUGAGAAUGUGAUAAGGAUACUGUUAGAGAGGGCAAGCAUGUUUUUGGUGUUGUUCACAUUUUUGCAUCAUUCAAUGACACCUUUAUUCAUGUGAUUGAUUUGUCUAGAAAGGAAACCCUUGUCCGCACACUGUCUCCUGUGAAAAUGGUACCCACUAGCAUGGCCAAAGAAUUCACUGGCGUAUGAUGGAAAUGAUAUGACAUUUGGGAUAUCAUCAAGAAUGGCUGGCCUUGUUUUAAUCACUCUGUGUGUAUCUAUGUAAAAAUUUCACAAUAAAAUUUUGAUAAUUAACUUGGCACUAUUGUCUUUGUUCUUGAUACAUUGUAAAAACAAAAAAUUUCAAUGAAAAUUUGAUAAUUAAC